rnacentral:rRNA from 1 species
AUUGAACGCUGGCGGCAGGCCUAACACAUGCAAGUCGAGCGGAUGAAGGGAGCUUGCUCCUGGAUUCAGCGGCGGACGGGCGAGUAAUGCCUAGGAAUCUGCCUGGUAGUGGGGGAUAACGUCCGGAAACGGGCGCUAAUACCGCAUACGUCCUGAGGGAGAAAGUGGGGGAUCUUCGGACCUCACGCUAUCAGAUGAGCCUAGGUCGGAUUAGCUAGUUGGUGGGGUAAAGGCCUACCAAGGCGACGAUCCGUAACUGGUCUGAGAGGAUGACCAGUCACACUGGAACUGAGACACGGUCCAGACUCCUACGGGAGGCAGCAGUGGGGAAUAUUGGACAAUGGGCGAAAGCCUGAUCCAGCCAUGCCGCGUGUGUGAAGAAGGUCUUCGGAUUGUAAAGCACUUUAAGUUGGGAGGAAGGGCAGUAAGUUAAUACCUUGCUGUUUUGACGUUACCAACAGAAUAAGCACCGGCUAACUUCGUG